AUUUGAUUUUCUUCGGAACUGAAGAUUUGGUGAUUGAGUGGCGGACGGGUGAGUAACGCGUGGGUAACCUGCCCUGUACAGGGGGAUAACAGUCAGAAAUGACUGCUAAUACCGCAUAAGACCACAGCACCGCAUGGUGCAGGGGUAAAAACUCCGGUGGUACAGGAUGGACCCGCGUCUGAUUAGCUGGUUGGUGAGGUAACGGCUCACCAAGGCGACGAUCAGUAGCCGGCUUGAGAGAGUGAACGGCCACAUUGGGACUGAGACACGGCCCAAACUCCUACGGGAGGCAGCAGUGGGGAAUAUUGCACAAUGGGGGAAAUCCUGAUGCAGCGACGCCGCGUGAGUGAAGAAGUAUCUCGGUAUGUAAAGCUCUAUCAGCAGGGAAGAAAAUGACGGUACCUGACUAAGAAGCCCCGGCUAACUACGUGCCAGCAGCCGCGGUAAUACGUAGGGGGCAAGCGUUAUCCGGAAUUACUGGGUGUAAAGGGUGCGUAGGCGGCUUUGCAAGUCAGAUGUGAAAUCUAUGGGCUCAACCCAUAAACUGCAUUUGAAACUGUAGAGCUUGAGUGAAGUAGAG
rnacentral:rRNA from 1 species